rnacentral:misc_RNA from 1 species
GAUGAAGAACGUAGCGAAAUGCGAUAAGUAAUGUGAAUUGCAGAAUUCAGUGAAUCAUCGAAUCUUUGAACGCACAUUGCGCCCGCCAGUAUUCUGGCGAGCAUGCCUGUUCGAGCGUCAUUUCAACCAUCAAGCCCCAGGCUUGUGUUGGAGCCCUGCGGCUGCCGCAGCCUCCCAAAACCAGUGGCGGGCUCGCUAUCACACCGAGUGCAGUAGUUUACUCUUCGCUCAGGGCGUGUGGCGGGUGCUAGCCGUGAAACCCCCAACUUCUCAAGGUUGACCUCGGAUCAGGUAGGGAUACCCGCUGAACUUAAGCAUAUCAAUAAGCGGAGGA